AGACAGGCAUGAGCUGCAGUCCACAGCCUGCUCACGGGCAAAUAGCAUGCUGGCGAUUUAGAAGCUACAUAGAAGCUACUCCUUGAUGCCAAAGUAUUGAUUUAGGCAACGACACUUCUGUUUAUGGGAAAGGCAAAAAGAGACAAGAAGAAGGCUGAAGAUGCAGAAUAGAAAGGAUGAGCCUUAUUCUGGAGCUUGUCACAUCAGUAUUGCUACUUAGGUGAUUAAAAAGAAGCAGCGGGAUCUUGGAGAAAACGUCUGACGAAAGAACUUGAUCUGCACCUAGUGACUCAUUCGUCUUGUGGCUGCCUCUGGAUUUGUGAGUAUGGUGCCUAGAAAGAAAUAACCAACAAAUCAAAGUCUAUUUCAUUGAUGCACAUGCUGGCACCCCUUGAAAGAUCCGGAAAUCCACAUGUUGAACAUGAAUUUAGGGCUGCGGUUGCUGCAAAGAUCCUGGAAGAUAUCAACUCCUAGGUCUAGUGCAGCAUCUUAUUCACCUUGGCAUCUACCACUGCAUGGCGCACAGCACCUAUCACCUAGUAGUGCCAAUAUUCAUCAGUGGACGAAGGACAAACCACCAAUUGUCAUUUGGCAAUCUUAGGCAUCCAAGAUUAUACCAAAAGCAUGAAAAAAUCUGUGUAAACCACUGAAUGAAUAGAUAAAGUCAUUGGAAAAAAGAUAAAGGUGUUAAGAC